GAUCCUGGCUCAGGACGAACGCUGGCGGCGCGCCUAACACAUGCAAGUCGAACGGUGAAGGGGAGCUUGCUCCUCGGAUCAGUGGCGGACGGGUGAGUAACACGUGAGCAACCUGGCUCUAAGAGGGGGACAACAGUUGGAAACGACUGCUAAUACCGCAUGAUGUAUCGGGAUGGCAUCUUCCUGAUACCAAAGAUUUUAUCGCUUAGAGAUGGGCUCGCGUCUGAUUAG
rnacentral:rRNA from 1 species